AUGGGGACGGGGGCGGUGGCGCCGGAACGGCCGAAGCAGCGGCGGGGCGGGCACCUGUGGAAGCGCGCGGUGCUCCACUUCUCGCUCUGCUUCGUCAUGGGCUUCUUCACCGGCUUCGCGCCGUCCUCCUCCUCUUCCUGGAGACCCGGCGGCGGGGCCGGCACGCCGCCGCCGCUUCUCGCGGCGGAGCAGCUCGCUGCUUCCCGUGUCGCGGGCAGCAGGGACCAGCACAUCAGCCUGGCGCCGCCCUCGCCGGAGGGCGCGGCGGCGGCCGGCGGGGGCGGCGCGGUGGUGGACCUGGAGGACGACGAGGAGAGCGGGCCGCGCCGGAUGCUGAUUGUGGUCACCACGACGCGGUCCGGGGCAGGGGAGCGGCGGCGGAGGCGGCCGGAGCUGCUGCGGCUCGCGCACACGCUGCGGCUGGUGCGCCCUCCUGUCGUCUGGGUGGUGGUGGAGCCGGCGGCCGACGCGCCCGCCACGGCCGAGGUGCUGCGGGGCACCGGGGUCAUGUACCGCCACCUGGCCUUCCGCCCGGAGGAGAACUUCACCACCGCCGCCGCCGAGGCCCACGCGCAGCGCAACGCCGCGCUCGCCCACGUCGAGAAGCACCGCCUCUCCGGCGUCGUCCACUUCGCCGACGCCGCCGGCGUCUACGACACCCACUUCUUCGAGGAGAUCCGCCAGAUCGAGGCGUUUGGCACAUGGCCGGUGGCAACGAUGUCCGCUGGCGAGAAGAAGGUAGUGGUCGAGGGCCCACUGUGCAGUGCCUCGAAGGUAGUCGGCUGGUUCUCGAGGAACUUCAAUGAUGGUACCACCCGUUCAGUGACAUAUAACACUGAGGUUGACUUGAAUCCUGCCGGUGCUGCUGGCACGCGAGCCCACACAAUCGAUGUAUCAGGAUUUGCGUUCAACAGUUCUAUUUUGUGGGACCCUGAGCGGUGGGGACGACCGACGUCAUUACCGGACACUUCCCAGGACUCGAUCAAGUUUGUGCAGGAGGUGGUGCUGGAGGACCGGACAAAGCUGAAGGGGAUCCCCUCCGACUGCUCCCAGAUCAUGGUGUGGCAGUAUGAUGUGCCCAGUAGCCCCAACACUCCGAAAACCAAAACCAAAACCGCCACCCUGAAAACCCACCAUAGAAGAAGGUAG
rnacentral:rRNA from 1 species